CCCCCCCCACCCACAAACAAAACAUAAACAAACAUGGCGGCUGAGUCGCAGAUGCGGUCUAGUUCUUUUCUUCAUCUACCUUUAGAAGUUUUUUCUCAGAUCUUGAAAUACAAUGUUUUAGUUGAUUCUGAUGUUUGCAACGUCUCUCGUGUUUGUAAGAAAUUUCACAACUUUUGUUUUAGAAACGAAAUAUGGAAAGUCAAGUUUCGUCAAAGGUGGCCCUUGUCAUUUAGAAAAUGGCCUAACUCACAGUGGUUUGACCUGUACAAAACUCGCCACUUGGUAGCUUCGCAAGUUCAUCAGCUUGUCUACAGUUUAGCAGAAGAUUAUUACCACAGGAACGACAUUUCAAAUGAAGGAUUUUAUGAAUUUUACAAAUUGUUUGAUCUGCAUCCUCAAGCAUCUAUGUUUGUUCUAGACGAAUUGCAUCUGAUCCUUUUUGCUGGUGACAGCAAUGCACAUCUUACUGAAAGGUACUAUGCAGAAAAAGCAUUUUAUAAUCUGCAACAUGCCGCUCUGAGGAGUGAAAUCAGACAGUUCUUGAAUCUUCCACCAGAAAGUCAGAAAAUAGAAAUAGGUGCCAUGAUGGUAUCACGGUGGUUUCAGCCAGGGCUUGCUGUCUCACAUGAUAUUGUCUGUAAACAGCUGGAUGAUAUUGCAGACAGAGUGAGAAAACAACUGAGACAGAUGCUUCCGGAUGUGCAUCCAGCUAGCGAAAAAAGUUAUUUGGAAGCAGGUUUAACAGAAAGCCUGUGGACUCCCACUCAGUGUCGACAAGUGCUAGAAGCAAUUAAUAUCGUUCUUUAUCAGCAUAUGGGAUUUGCACCCAGUGAAACAACAUCCUAUAUGGCAUGCAAUAGUUACCUGGAUAAAGUGCUAGAGAAAAAGAUGGGUUUUCCAAUCACGCUGUGCAUCUUGUACAGUGCUGUGGCCAGGAGGCUUGGUGUUGUUUGUGAACUCGUCAACUUCCCUGCUUACUUCUUGCUACGAUGGAAGGAGAACCCUAUGGCACCCACUGAGGGACAGUAUACAUUUAUUGAUGCAUAUGGGCAUGGGCAGAUGUUGUCUCAUAAAGAGUGCCUAGAAUUUCUGGGGCAGUUUGGCACAGAUGCCGUAGUAGCAACUGCACUCUAUGCAGCAACCACAACAGCAAAGGUAUUGGAGAUAAUGGCCCGAAACCUGGUCAGAAUUGCUCGAUGCCUGAAUCAUCAUGGCAGAGAUCGAACUCAGAUGUUGCGCUUUGCAAUUGGUUUGCAUCUGGCCAUUUCUCCUGAUGACGCUGAGAUGCAGCUAAUGCAAGUUCGCCUCUUUUUGCAUCUCAACAUCAAUUUGAAGGAUGCAAUAGAAAAUCUUCGGCAGGUUGCAGCAGUGGAUGACGUAGUGAGCUUUUUGACCAAAGAAAUUUACACGCUUAUGAAAGAGAAUGAAACGAGGGACAACGAAAGGCAUAUGGUACAGGAAAAGUUGAGGAAAGAUAAUGCGGAGGUGCAUUUUUCUGUUGGUAUGGUGAUGAAACACAAAAAGUACCACUAUACAUGUGUUAUUUAUGGCUGGGACAAAGAGGGUCGCAUUAGCGAAGAAUGGAUUACACAGGAGGGAGUAGGGAAUCUCCAAGGUAGACCGUUCCAACCUUUCUACAAUGUUCUUGCUGAGGACGGAAGUAAUCGAUAUGCUGCGCAAGAAAACUUGGUGUACGCUAAAGAUGUCAAAGCGAUCACACAUCCAGAAGUGGGAAAAUACUUUGAAAAAUUCACAGGGAAAUUCUAUGUUCCAAACAAAAUGAAACAAGAGGAGUAUCCAGAUGAUGCAGAGAUGACAGGCAGACUUGUGACCCAGUAUUUUUUGAGCACGAAGUAAUAUUACAGGUUUCUUGGGCCAGCAACCGGACUCCUCCGUUACAACAACCAGUGAACUGGUUCAUCAGCCUAAAAAAAAAGGUGAUGAAGAAUGUGCAUCCCACAGUCUGGUUAUGGUGAACCACUUUAAUUCGGCUGUUUAAUAAUUACUACUAUGAUCAAAACGUUUAUUGAAGUGAGAGGAAAGUUCAGACGGCAGGUACCUUAAGCCUUCAUUUUUAUUCGGACACCAAGGCAUGGGAUUUUGGCUUUCCUUUUUUUGACACAGGGUUGGCUGAUUUAUGACGAAGAUUUUUUUGCCCCGGUCUCGACACGUAGUACGAUUAAAAUACGGAUAAAAAACGCAGACAGAAGCUUCCCGGGAGAAUCUCCUGGAUUCCAUUCCGCCCCUUCGUACAAUUGUUCACGCACACCUCUCGUGCCGUGUCGCCCAGUCAUUCUUGUCCUGUGGAGGGACGGUGAGGAGACAUGUCAGGCGGAAGAACCACAUUUGUCAGCUGUACUGACAUGACACACAGGCAGGAGACCGCCUGACUGCGAACAGCACUUGGGACAAAAAACAAACCCGAGUUACAGCGAUACCCGCGCCCUGCUACAUAACGGACUGGCGGCUGGCCAUGACGGACAAGGACGCCGAAACAAAGCUCGUAUGGUACCUCACUGCAGUUCACGGUCUGCUGCUUCUCACCCACUCAAGUGCGACAAGCGGCGAAAUCGAGUUUUACAAGCCCCCGAGUGCCUGUCUGACCGGUGCGUCCUGUCACAACUGCAUCGACACCCUGGAGUUCCGUUCACAUCGCGUGUGUUGCUACAACUGCCGCCUGGAUAACGUCGUCAUGAACGACCACAUGUGUCACUGUAUCGACACCAGGCUCCCUGGUUCGCCUCCAGGCCUGGGAGGCAACUGCAGCAGCGGCCAGGUGUGCGACAACUGCGCCGUGAAGAUCUCCUCUGACAUCUCUGAGGGGCCCAGCGACACGCCAGGGACGACCAGUUACUGCUGCCGGGACUGUGGCAUCGCAACCCCGUACAUAGUGAAGGACACAGAAGAGUGUCACUGCGCUGCAGACUCUCAAGGAAGACAGCACGAACUCGUGCCCCGGUAUGACCCUCCGACCAUCAGCCCUGAUUCCGGGUCACAGAUCAACGCUGCCGCUCUCAUGACGCAGUUCAGUUCAUCGUGCCUGCAGACGACACUUGCUUUCUGUAUCCUCCAUAUAUGGUGUUCAUUGUAAUUUGUAUCCGUAUUACGAGGUGUAUGUGUUGACCGUAGACGGGUAUUGUCUGGCUAUGUACAGGUGGGGGAACUGCAUCACGUUGUCCGUUGACAACAAAUUAGCAUGUUGAUCAACUUCCCCACCUUCCUCGGCAUUGUUCUUGAUCCUACGCUGUUUGUCUCGCGUAUUCUUUGUAGCUACAAAGUGGACUCGGUAUUAAAACAUUACCUUAUACCCUGUUUGUCCAGCAGUGUCUUUUGUCUUUUAAGUGUCCCCAGAGACAAUCUUUUGCAGACGACAUAAUCUAUUUUUGGGGGGAGGAGAAAGAAAAAAAAAAGUGUAGGAGGAAGGGGGAAUCCAAAAUCAGUAUCUUUGUCAAAUUAGUUUUUCUCUUUUCAAAGGCAAACAGGUGUUACUAUUUUGCAUAAAUUGUAAAUAAAAUCCUUUGAAUAAAAAUUGAGCAUGUUAAUUACUAAACAUUGCUUACUAUUUAAAAAAAAUCAUUCCCUUCACAAUUUUAUUUUUUUUUAAAGAUCAAGACUUCAUAUAGAGAUGGUGGAUAGUGCAAGACAGAAAAAAAAAAAUCAAAAACCAAAAUAGUCGCACAACAACAGCAAAAAUAGGAGGCUUAAUAUUCAGACAAUUUUUAUUGUACAUGAAUAUCAAAAUUAGACAGGCCACAAAUGAUCUCAGAACUGGACAAGCCACAAAAAGAUCUUAACCAUUCAGUCUAUUUGUUCAAAAAAAUGAAACCUUAUUUUAAAAGGUAGGUGGGAAAGAGGUGUAUCAAAAUGUCAGUUUACCACAAAGGAAAAAUAUCAAACAAAGUAAACUAUCUCUAGUAUUGAAAACACCUUUGUAAUGUUUGUAGCAGCUGAAUUUAUAAGGAUCACCUAUGUGAUCUUCCAUGCACCUGCAUUUUCUUCUCAUAAAUCAUUAGAAAUCCAAUAACUAUAAGAACUGAAAUGCACGCAAGAGUUGUUUUCUGGCCAUCCAUCAUGAUUGCCCCUUACCACUCAUAAAGAUAGGCAGCUGUAUUGGUUAUUUAAAUCUCUAUUUCCCUUCCCUAGGGUGCUAUUCAUGGCAACGUAAAGCUAGGACAAAAUGCACUAUUAUGCAAACAUUUGAAAUAAGCUGAUUUUGAUGCUGACUAUUGAAAUAAAUACCCCUCUUUAUGACUAACUAGUCAGUAGACAGGUGCUAUAAAAAUAAAUAAACCUCUUCAUGGCUGAAUAAAAAAAAUAAAUCAGGAAACUAACAUGACUACAUCUGAUUCUCUCCUAUCCUCCAAAAAAAAAAAAAA
rnacentral:misc_RNA from 1 species